AGGGACAAUUAUGAGUUGAUGACGAUGAUGAUCAGGAGCGUGGGCUACAGAAGUCUAAAAAAAUUAUCCUUGAAGAAAAAAAGGUAUUGGCUCAGAAUGCCAGUGCCAAGAGGAUGUCCAAAGCAGAUGCAAGAGAGACAUUUGCAAACACAGGAACACAUUGGUUCCAAGGCCGUGAGUGAAGAUGAGGUAAUGAUUUUUCUCCAUUAUGAUAAUUUCCAAAUUUCUCAUGACAUGCCAAGAUGGUUCAUGCAUAUCAAUUUGACAUGUUUAAGUUUUGUGUUCGGCAAGAUGGGCGGCCAAUAUUUCAUACACGUUUUUCUUGUUAGACUCUAGCAAAGCUAGAGAAGUUCAAGGCUUCUUUCGCCAGUAAGAAUCCUGCUACAGAAUGUCACAGAAAAGAAUCAUGCUACUGAUGAGGCGGGAAAGGAAGGUGACUAGGUGAGGAGGAAGGCUACACAGGGUGGCACACAAACCGGCUGUCUUUGUUGCACAAUUCUUCUAAGGUAGCCUUUCUUUCCCCUUCUCCCACGAGCAGGGGAAAUAGAUGCAUCUUGUAAAGAUUGGGAAUGGCAUGUAACUUGAUCUUUACAGAUCCAGAUGACUAUGUAGUUGU
rnacentral:lncRNA from 1 species